AGUACGGAGCAGAUUGUGAGGAGAGAUGCGCACAUUGUGCUGACAACCAAUUAUCAUGUGACACUGCAACCGGGAACUGUUCAAACACAACACCCAGAUGCAUGCCGGGAUACUAUGGUCCGAGGUGUGACACAGCUUGCUACGGCUCAUAUGGUCCGGACUGUGGGACGAGAUGUGGUCACUGUGCUGAGUUACCGACUGUCUGUAACGCUACAUCCGGGACCUGUGCUGAGAGAACACCGAGGUGCAUGCCUGGAUACACGGGUGUAAAAUGUGACACAGAAUGCACACGGGGAACUUUUGGUACAAAUUGUGAAGAAAACUGUGGCUUCUGUGCCGAAGGGAACGCUGCCUGCAACGCUACAUCUGGACACUGUCCCGACAGAGAGCCGCGGUGUGCACUAGGGUACUCUGGUCUAAAGUGUU